rnacentral:rRNA from 1 species
UACGAAGGGGACUAGCGUUGCUCGGAAUCACUGGGCGUAAAGCGCACGUAGGCGGAUUGUUAAGUCAGGGGUGAAAUCCUGGAGCUCAACUCCAGAACUGCCUUUGAUACUGGUGAACUCGAGGGAGGUAGGGGCAUGUGGAACUUCCGGUGGAGCGGUGAAAUGCGUUGAUAUCGGAAGGAACGCCGGUGGCGAAAGCGACGUGCUGGCCCUCUUCUGACGCUGAGGCGCGAAAGCUAGGGGAGCAAACGGG